GAUACUUAGUGUGCUGAUAGCUGCAUCCAUCAGAUGGUCCCACAUGCAAAAUGCCAAGUUAAUUAGAAAAUUCACAACUAAUUAACCACUAGAAUGCUCAUGCACAAAAAACUGCUAAUCGACUUUAAAAAAUGAAAUUCCCCCCUACUCCACACGAGACAGACAAAUUAAACUACCAACCUAGAAACAAACAUCACACUACUUUUUAUUCACUCUCUUAAACAGAAACAGGUUCAGACUUGACCAGGGGCCUUGUGUCACAUGACGAUGUUUACCUAAUCUCACUGAGGCUUUCGAGCAAUUUUGCGAUGCUAGGAAUGCAUAGUAAAGGGGUGCCAACUUAUUGAAUGCAGUUUAGGGUAGAAUCUGAAUUUGAAAUCUCACAUGUCAAAAAAGAAAAAUACACAAUGGCACACAAAAUUUCAGGAUGCAAAUAACAAUAUAUUAUUGACCCUAAAAAAUAACCUUUUUUUGCAGAAAAUUCAGAAGAAAAGGUAAAUUAUCUCAAGGAAAAAAAAAACUUUUUUGAUUCCAAUUGUACUGGUAAUUAAAUGUAAUAAGUAAAGAAAGAGCAACAGAAUGCUAACAAGGAAAACACAGGUAGCAAUGUAGCAUCUCUUAAUUGUUCUUUCUCCUGCAAGGUUUGUUUCUAAAUACACAAACAAAUAGGAUAAUAACUGAAAUUUAUUGAAAAAAAAAAGUAAAAAAAUAUAAUGCUAUGCAACAAUGGCCAUGAAAGAAAUCAAC
rnacentral:misc_RNA from 1 species